rnacentral:rRNA from 1 species
CCCUUAGAUGUUCUGGGCCGCACGCGCGCUACACUGAUCAGUGCAACAAGCAUCCGUCCUUGGCCGACAGGCCCGGGCAAUCUUUGAACGCUGAUCGUGAUGGGGAUAGACUUUUGCAAUUUUUGGUCUUCAACGAGGAAUUCCUAGUAAACGCAAGUCACCAACUUGCAUUGAUUACGUCCCUGCCCUUUGUACACACCGCCCGUCGCACCUACCGAUUGAAUGGUCCGGUGAAGCCUCCGGAUUGGCGUGCACCCUCGGGUGCUGCCGAGAAGUUGGCUAAACCUUACCAUUUAGAGGAAGGUGAAGUCGUAACA